rnacentral:tRNA from 1 species
AAAAAGGUAAGCUAAGUAAAGCUACUGGGUUCAUACCCCAUUAAUGGGGUUAAUCAUCCCCCCUUUUUA